UCCGAGAGAUAAGUCGAGGGCUACGACCUUGAGAGGGGAUGAAAGGGAGGCACUGGGAGGGCUUUUUGAAUCAGCUUUGGUGGCAGGGAUGUGCAAGAAGUAUCCACUUAGGCCACCUAAAGGGAAAGUGUUUCUUUUGAUCACAGUGCUGAGGUGCUCAGGGCAGAGCAGUCCUGGUGUGUGUUGUGUCACUUGUCUAUUGUGCAUUCUGUGUGUUUGGGUAUUUCGUGUCACAUGUCUUUUUUACCUUAGCCCUUUGAGGGCCCUAUCGGAAAGCCCGGCCUCAUUUUUGGCAUCCGCGAUCUCCGCAUUCCUUGGACGGGCACCGGUGCAAUAGGACUCUUGAUUCUGGAGGUCAGACAGGCAUCUGAAUUGCAUCUCGCUUUAGAAGCAUCCAGUCAGAUGUCUUUUAAGGUCUUGCUCUGAGCUGUGUCGACAGCCACACACCGCAAUGAUCCCUUAUAGCCGAUUAGGACCGAUAAGAAUGCAAAGCUAGCUAGAGCCUUCGGACCAUAAAAUUGUUGGACAUUCAUCUUUGCAGUUCUCUUAAGAAAUCAUUCUGUUAGCAUCUUGUUCCUGCAGGGUUCUCUGAGCCUCAUCAGCUCUGAGCGGUCCGUCUUACCUAGGUCAUCUCGUUCCGCAUUCUCCCGGCGCUCGCCGGCAUUCUUCUCACCGAGAGCUCUCUCUCCCUGUCGAGUCCCCUUGUUUGUCACGUUCUGUCCUGUGUCACGGGUGUCUGCACGUAUUUGUCCCGGAACUGCUCUGCCCUGCUGCAUAGCCUGUAACGGGACAAGUCCCAGGAGUUGAAAUUUCUGAUGCGGGGUGUAGUUGGGCUCUAGAUUGUAUUUGUAGAUUGACAUGUUUGGUGCUGUUAAGUUAUCCUGCAGCCAUUUGACAUUACUCCUACCUUUCUUUCAGAUGCAGGCGGAUUAAAUCUGUGGCAGAGCCCCCAAUCCCGGGUCAAGGGGUUUUCCCUGAGAAGGAAGUCCAGGCAGAUAGCUGCAGCCAAGGCCAAGUGUGCCAGGCCAUCCACUCGGUGUACGCUAAGCCCAUGUCAUCAGGUGGCGGACGGACCGGGUUUCCUGCACUCGUGAGCCCUCCGGAAGUAUGAUGGGACCCCGUGAUGAAGCCCACACAUCUUGUAUUUCAAGGUCCCAUCUGGGUAGCUCACGGGAACGGCCGAGGAGCUGCGGUGAGUCGGGGAGGUAGGGAGGAGGAGAGGGGGUCCACUCCAGUUUCAGCUGUGCCCAGUCACCUUGUCUCCACUUAACCUAGGCGUACCUCGUGACGGCAGCGUCGGCCUCGGAGCACGGCCGAAGCGUGCGGCCCAAACGCCAGGGCCCUCUUAGGAGAAGACGAAGAGAUAAGAGCCUGGUGACAGCUGGAACUUCCCAGACGGGGAAGUGGCCUUCUUUUGCACUUGACAGGGA